GGGAGUGACUUGGCUUCGACAGGAGCAGGUUGGCUUUGGUUGCAUGCCGCCUUGGAUUUGGCGCAAAACAAUCCACUAAACUUAAACGCAAACAAUACAAAUUACGCUCCUGCUUACGCUAAAGCUGCGUAAGUAACCUUUUAGGAGGCCUCGCUCUGCGGAUGCUAUCUAGGCAGUUUCGGCGAGGUUAACCCCCAUAGAUAGCUUUGAGAUGCGACGUGACCGCGCGCAUUUUGAGCCUUAGGUCUUAGUCUGGUGAAGUUUUGGGAACUGUACGACACAAGAUGAAAUUUAACAGUUCUGCUAAGCAUGUAGACGCCGAGGUUAAGUUGUUUUUGGACUGGGGUUCGAUUCCCCACACUUCCACCA
rnacentral:tmRNA from 1 species